AUUGAACGCUGGCGGUAGGCCUAACACAUGCAAGUCGAACGGCAGCACAGGAGAGCUUGCUCUCUGGGUGGCGAGUGGCGGACGGGUGAGGAAUACAUCGGAAUCUACUCUGUCGUGGGGGAUAACGUAGGGAAACUUACGCUAAUACCGCAUACGACCUACGGGUGAAAGCAGGGGACCUUCGGGCCUUGCGCGAUUGAAUGAGCCGAUGUCGGAUUAGCUAGUUGGCGGGGUAAAGGCCCACCAAGGCGACGAUCCGUAGCUGGUCUGAGAGGAUUAUCAGCCACACUGGAACUGAGACACGGUCCAGACUCCUACGGGAGGCAGCAGUGGGGAAUAUUGGACAAUGGGCGCAAGCCUGAUCCAGCCAUACCGCGUGGGUGAAGAAGGCCUUCGGGUUGUAAAGCCCUUUUGUUGGGAAAGAAAUCCAGCUGGCUAAUACCCGGUUGGGAUGACGGUACCCAAAGAAUAAGCACCGGCUAACUUCGUGCCAGCAGCCGCCGUAA
rnacentral:rRNA from 1 species